UGUUGUAAAACGAUAGUAAAAGAAUUUGAGAGAGGGAGAGUUUAGACACCAAGAAUGAAACACCAAGAAUGAAGUAUGAGAAAUGGAGUGAUUCUAUUCAUCUCACAAUGAGGUUUAUAUAGGAGUAUCUCAGGUUUACAAAAGGUAACUACUUAACGAUUACAUCAAUCACUCGUCUGAUUACAAUCAAUCAAUCGCUAAUUAUAUUCUGUUAAUCACCAAUCAAUCUUAAUUGGCGUAUAUCACGCAACACUAAUUGCUAUUACAUGAAUAGCCACAUUAAUAUU
rnacentral:lncRNA from 1 species